AAAAAGUGUUUGGGUUGAGUACAUACAACUGGCUUUGGAAAAUAAGCCAUUGAAUUUGGGACAAGGUUUUCCUGACUAUGCACCCCCUGAAUAUAUUACAAAAGCCCUAGCUGAUGUUGCAAGAAGUCCUGACCCUUUGUUACAACAAUAUACUCGUGGUUUUGGCCAUCCUCGUUUGAUAGCAGUUCUGGCAAAACUAUACUCCAU